rnacentral:rRNA from 1 species
GAUGAACGCUGGCGGCGUGCCUAAUACAUGCAAGUCGAGCGAAUGGAUUAAGAGCUUGCUCUUAUGAAGUUAGCGGCGGACGGGUGAGUAACACGUGGGUAACCUGCCCAUAAGACUGGGAUAACUCCGGGAAACCGGGGCUAAUACCGGAUAACAUUUUGAACCGCAUGGUUCGAAAUUGAAAGGCGGCUUCGGCUGUCACUUAUGGAUGGACCCGCGUCGCAUUAGCUAGUUGGUGAGGUAACGGCUCACCAAGGCAACGAUGCGUAGCCGAACUGAGAGGGUGAGCGGACACACUGGGACUGAGACACGGCCCAGACUCCUACGGGAGGCAGCAGUAGGGAAUCUUCCGCAAUGGACGAAAGUCUGACGGAGCAACGCCGCGUGAGUGAUGAAGGCUUUCGGGUCGUAAAACUCUGUUGUUAGGGAAGAACAAGUGCUAGUUGAAUAAGCUGGCACCUUGACGGUACCUAACCAGAAAGCCACGGCUAACUACGUGCCAGCCGCCGCGGUAA